UACGAAGGGGGCUAGCGUUGCUCGGAAUGACUGGGCGUAAAGGGCGCGUAGGCGGUUUGUACAGUCAGGUGUGAAAUUCCCGGGCUCAACCUGGGGGCUGCACUUGAUACGUAUGGGCUGGAGUGGGGAAGAGGGUCGUGGAAUUCCCAGUGUAGAGGUGAAAUUCGUAGAUAUUGGGAAGAACACCGGUGGCGAAGGCGGCGACCUGGUCCUUGACUGACGCUGAGGCGCGAAAGCGUGGGGAGCAAACAGG
rnacentral:rRNA from 1 species